AGCGAACGCUGGCGGCAGGCCUAACACAUGCAAGUCGAACGAACUCUUCGGAGUUAGUGGCGGACGGGUGAGUAACACGUGGGAACGUGCCCUUUGGUACGGAAUAACUCAGGGAAACUUGAGCUAAUACCGUAUGUGCCCUUCGGGGGAAAGAUUUAUCGCCAUUGGAGCGGCCCGCGUCUGAUUAGCUAGUUGGUGAGGUAAAGGCUCACCAAGGCUACGAUCAGUAGCUGGUCUGAGAGGAUGAUCAGCCACAUUGGGACUGAGACACGGCCCAAACUCCUACGGGAGGCAGCAGUGGGGAAUCUUGCGCAAUGGGCGAAAGCCUGACGCAGCCAUGCCGCGUGAAUGAUGAAGGUCUUAGGAUUGUAAAAAUUCUUUUCACCGGGGACGAUAAUGACGGUACCCGGAGAAGAAGCCCGGCUAACUUCGUGCCAGCAGCCGCGGGUAAUAGUACUCUAU
rnacentral:rRNA from 1 species